rnacentral:rRNA from 1 species
UAAAAAGCUCGUAGUUGAAUUUCGAGACUAAUAUGUUGGUCGUGCCUCGGUACGUACUGAUAUUUUUGGUUUCUCCCUUCUGACGAACCUUGAUGUCAUUAAUUUGGUGUCUUGGGAAAUCAGGACUGUUACUUUGAAAAAAUUAGAGUGUUUAAAGCAGGCUCACGCUUGAAUACAUUAGCAUGGAAUAAUGAAAUAGGACGUUUGAUUCUAUUUUGUUGGUUUCUAGGAUCGACGUAAUGAUUAAUAGGGAUAGUUGGGGGCAUUAGUAUUCAAUUGUCAGAGGUGAAAUUCUUGGAUUUAUUGAAGACUAACUACUGCGAAAGCAUUUGCCAAGGAUGUUUUCAUUAAUCAAGAACGAAAGUUAGGGGAUCGAAGACGAUCAGAUACCGUCGUAGUCUUAACCAUAAACUAUGCCGACUAGGGAUCGGAUGAUGUUAAUUUUUUAAUGACUCAUUCGGCGCCUUACGGG